GAUGAACGCUGGCGGCGUGCCUAACACAUGCAAGUCGAGCGAACAGACCAGGCUUUUGCUCCUCUGACGUUAGCGGCGGACGGGUGAGUCACACGUGGACAACCUACCUAUCAGACUGGGAUAUUUUCGGGAAACCGGCGCUAAUACCGGAUAAUAUAUUGAACCGCAUGGUUCAAUAGUGAAAUACGGUUUUUCUGUCACUUAUAGAUGGAUCCGCUCCGCAUUAGCUGGUUGGUAAGGUAACGGCUUACCAAGGCGACGAUGCGUAGCCGACGUGAGAGGGUGAUCGGCCACUCAGGAACUGAGAGGCGGUCCAGAGACGGACGGGAGGCAGCGGUAGGGAAGCUACGGAAAUGGGCGGAAGCCUGACGGAGCAGCGGCGGGUGAGUGAAGAAAGGCUUCGGAUCGUAAGACUGUGUUAUGGGGGAAGAACAAAUGUGUAAGUAACUAAGCGCGAGUGAAGGGAACCGAAGAAGAAGGCCAGGCCAAACUAGGU
rnacentral:rRNA from 1 species